CCCUGCUUUGCAAAAUCUUCCAUGAACCCAUCUCCGUCUAAAGCGACACCUACCCGAUUUCGGUCCUCAACUGUCAACAGUUCCAUCUCCACGCAAGUAUCCAAGACAUCGUUAAUCAGGAGCUUGUCCACCAGGGUAGGCUGAAGGAGGUUCAGCAGGUGGAGACAUUCGUCAUGGGCGGUCUCAUAGGAGGGAGAGGGCAGAUCGUUGAGUCUGACAUAGCGGGCGGCUAGGGAGCUGCCACUGUGCUCCAGGGCUUCCACGAACAUCUGCGUCCAGCCCGGCGGCCACUCCCCCUUCUCCAAGGUGCUCAGCAGCAGUUCCGCGGCGCUGGUGUUCCCAUUGGUUGUGGCCUGCUUCAGAAUCUGCUCUUUGGUUUCUGCGCUCAGAAAGAUCAGGUAGUCCAGCACCGGCUCCACCUGAAAGGACCUUUUCAACCUGGUCCUGAAGAUUGAGAUGAGAUAGCGGAAGCUGUCCUCUGUAGAACAGACGUUCGACAUCCUUGAUUCUCACGGAAAGGGAGAGGAGUCUCCCCGGCGAACGGGAGGACAGGAGGGCGGACGAUCCACAGGUGGGCGUGGGUCCCCGUCGACGCUGCCUGGUAGCUGCAGGUACUGGUGGCUUCAGGUGGACGGAUUGGUGGUUCCUGGUAGGUGGCGGGUGGAUCAGGAAUGCGCUGCAGCAGGGGUCGACAGGUGGGAGCGGAACUGGUGGAGGGAGGAUCCAAAAGAAUGGAACUGCAGCAGGCGCUUCUGCACCCUAGGAACAGUAAACUUCACACCCAGUGGAGUCCCAAAAACUAAUUUGUUCCUCCCAGAACUGGAACUUAUCUCUGCUGAACCAGUGAGAUUGCUCCGCGAGUAAAGAUGUGUCAAGACCAGAACCCACGUGGUGGAAGGGAGCAAACUGACUUUUGCAAGUAGUCCUCUGAUGCUCACAUAAUCACUGUGGCAUGGACACACACACACACACACACACACACACACACACACACACACACCAUGAACAAAUCAAUGGAAAAAAUAUAAUUUUUCUCUGCCUGUAGCUUUGCACAGUGACUUAUCUUCUGCAGCCCCCCUGCCCCGCCCCUUAUUUAAGCAUUUCCCUCUCUUAGGUUUUCUUUGCUUUUACUUUCAUCCUCAUCCGCGUUUCCUCCGUACUAAGUUUCUGUUUCUUUUCUCCUUUGGGAAAGACUGCUGACCUGUGUUUCUUUUUGCCCUGUACAGAACUGCCUAUUCUUUUGAAAACCCCCAAAGAUCCAUUUCAGGCCCUGUUAGUUUCAAGUUACUCUUGAGCAUCUUGUCUAAAUGGUAACACGGGAAGAUGAUAGGCUAGAGAUUCCGAUUCUUUCCCAAGUUUUCAUUAGAAUCUUUAACAUUGUCUUCCUUGUUCUAAGGAUGGAUUGCAAACUGCUUGCCACACAUGGGAUGUUCAUAUACCCAGCAAUGACUCAGUUCUCUAACAAUACAGAGUCUAUGAAGGCAAUUGUUUAGUUAUGGACAUAGCUAUUUAACUGAGAUUUAGCUAGGAUCCCUUUGUAUAAGGGAUCUUAUAGGCUGACUCGGUAGUAUUCAUUAAAGGGAUAUUGUCAUGUUUUUAUGUUUCCAAAAGAAUUAAUAGUCCUGCAUUAGUUAGGGUGUCUAUUGCUGUGCUGAAACACCAUAGCCAAAGCAUCUUGGUGAGGGAAGUCUUUCUUUCAAUUCACACAUCCUGAACAGUCUUUCCUGAAGAACAGUCAGGGCAGGAAGCUGGAGGUAGGAGCUGAUGCAGAGACCAUGGAAGGAUGCUGCUUACUGACUUGCUCUCCAUCACUUACUCAGUCUGCUUUCUUGUAGAACCCAGGACCAUCAGUCCAGGGGUGGCACUGCCCACGAUGAAUUGGGCCCUCCCACAUAAUUACCCUACAGGCUUACCUGUUUACAGCUGGUCUUCUGGAGGAAUUUUCUUCAUUGAGGUUCCCAUUUCUCAAAUGACUCUAGUUUAUGUCAAGUUGACAUAAAAAACGUCCAGCACAAGUCACAAAACGGAAAAAGAAAUUGUGACUAAGUUUAUUAGAACUUGACAUUCAUUACCUAAUUAUUUCACCAACUCAGUUAAACUUUUGGUUUGUAGUAUGCAUAAAUAAAAAGUUUUCUUUCUAUAAAAUAUGGUUGGUCAACAGGUCACAUACCAAGGGUCAUAUACCAAAGACUUACCCUUCAAAAGUGUUCACUACAGCUUUUAGUACCUCCAUAAAGCCAUUCUGUGUCCUUUAUCACUGUGCCAUCUCUCUAGCGUAUUAGGCAUUUACUUUAAAAUGAAUCAGAAGAAUAAUCUCGUCAUUUGAGGUACAGCUGCUAUUUUAAUGGAGCCAUACAACAAGAACAAAAAUGCAGUUUUCAGGAUUGGAAUUUUUGUGUUUUGCUAUCAGUUCCAUUCUCCGGCUAGAGGCAAAAACCUGAGAUUGGAAUUUCUUGGGGUCAAUUAGUGAUAUAGUUGAUAUUUAUUUAUAUGGGAUGAGGGGAGGCACAUGCAUAUGCGUGGUUUGUCAUUUCUCAGAACUGCCUCCACCUUGUUUACGCUAUUGCUUUUGGCUCUUGGGGGAGUGGAGGAGUUGAGACAGGGUUUUUCUGUAGCUUUGGAGCCUGCCCUGGAACUCGCUCUGUAGAGCAGGCUGGCCUUGAAUUCACAGAGAUUCACCUGUCGUCUCUGCCUACUGAAUGCUGGGGUUAAAGGUGUGAGCCCCCACUGCCUAGCUUGUUAAUUUGUUUUGAAACAGAAUUUCUUACUUUUGCCAGGAACUCACUGCAUUUCCUAGGCUGUCUGACUAGUAUAACCCAGAGACCUGACUGUUUUAACCUCCUCGGUUCUGGGAUUAAAUACACAUGCCACCACACCCAGGUGGGGAGGAGAUUACUCAGGUCCUCACGGCAAGCAAUUCACCAACUGAGCCAGCUCCUUAGCUACUUAUACUCAUUUUCUUUUUAAAAACGGUAGUUCUACACAGCUGCUGCACGCAGCGCAUUGUGGAUUUUGAGAUAUCAUCAUUCCAGGGAGAAAUGCAAGACUGUGCUCCUUUGACCCUCUGGACACAUGUUUAUCAAGUUAUUAAUGUGAGAACUUUGGGUUGUGUGCAUUUCUGUUUACAGAUAUUGCAUUUACUACAUAAUAUCAAUUCCUUCACAUUGAAUCAUUCAUAACCAGCAGUAAUACAAUUCAUGUCUUAACAGAGCUCAUCUGACAUGCUUUCUCUCUGAGGCUCAUCCAAGUUUCCCUAUGCUUAAGAACAGGAGAUUUUGCUCGUCCGUAUGCCUAGAGCCAUCCCAAACAGUGGGGUCACCAACAUAGUGCAAAAAUGUGCAAAACAUGGCACCAAAGGGGCUAUAAAAGAGACCUUUGUUAGCAUGAAAGCCAAAAUAUAGAAGCAGAACUGUGUACGGUAUGAUGGCUAAUUUCUUCUUUUAAUUGAAAAUAGAUUUUUAUACUAUAUUUAGAUUAUAGUUCCCCCUUGCCAACUCCUCCAGAUCCUCCCCACUUCCCUACCCACCCAAUCAACAUUCUUUCUUUCUCUCUCUCAUUAGAAAACAAUAGUAAUCUAAAAAUAAUAAAAUAAAAAUAAAUGGGGAAAAAGUCAAAGAAAGAGCAAACAAACAUAUACAGAUGUUGAGAUACACAUGGGGUAAUUUCAAUUACCAAUGUGAUUGAAGUAACAAAUACUGACAGUAUUAGUAUGGUGCACAUUUGGAUUUCUAAAGGGGUUUAACUGAAGAGCAAAGACACACCCUGAAUGUAGGCAGCACAUGGGCUGGAGUCCCAGACUGACCCAAAAAAGAAAAGAGGGGGAAAGCAAGUUUAUCCCUGCUAUCUCCCAUGCUUGGCUUCCUAGCUGGUCCAACCUGUUCCCACCUCCCCGCUCUCCCUGAAAUGAUUGACUGUGCUCCUCUCUACUGUAAACCAAUCACAAAUCCCACUCCUUUAAAUCGCUGUGUCGUGUAUAUGCACACAGAUGUUUAAGCUCAGCUGGGAUGUUUGGUUGGGUGACUCAAAUGUUUCAUUAAAUUUCAUUGCUGGCACAUGUUGACGAACGCUUAAUCAAGUGUCAUAAGCACUGGUGCUGUGAUGUCUGAGUUCACUGAGAGAAACCAAAGACUAAAGCUCAAUUCAAAUUUGGAUUAAAUGAGUUUGUUCUUACUGUUAUAAGGAUAGUUGGGGGCAGAGAUGGGGGUGGUUGGAGAGAUGACACAGUCGUUAAGAGCACUAACUGCUCUCCCAUAGGACCCAGGUUCAAUUCCCAGCACCCACAUGGCAUAUGAACAUAAAGUACUAAGGCACCAUCUUGGAAGCAAAGACUGAGGCUUUCAUCAGACUGAGUCUACUUUCUUCAUCUUGGAAAUCCUGUUCUUUCUUACUGCUUACUGUAUUCCUUUUUUUGUUUGUUUGUUUUUUGU